UCUUUUAUUUAUGAGGGUAUACUUUCAAAAAAUAAGAGUUUAUGGGUUUUUUCUUUCUUUUUUUGAUGGAGUUUUUGCUGUUGUUGCCCAGGCUGGACUGCAAUGGCGCAAUCUCAGCUCACUACAACUUCUGCCUCCCAGGUUCAAGCGAUUUUCCUGCCUCAGCCUCCUGAGUAGCUGGGAUUACAGGUACACACCAACACGCCUGGCUAAUUUUUUGUAUUUUCGGUAGAGACAGGGUUUCACCACGUUGGCCAAGCU
rnacentral:lncRNA from 1 species